rnacentral:tRNA from 1 species
GCCCUGAUAGUAUAAAAAUUACUCUGGUUUUGUAAACCAAAAAUGAAGAAAUUUCUUCUCAGGACA